UACAGAGGGGGCAAGCGUUGUUCGGAAUUACUGGGCGUAAAGGGCGCGUAGGCGGCCUGCUAAGUCGAACGUGAAAUCCCCGGGCUCAACCCGGGAACUGCGUCCGAGACUGGCGGGCUUGAAUUCGGGAGAGGGAUGCGGAAUUCCAGGUGUAGCGGUGAAAUGCGCAGAUAUCAGGAGGAACACCGGUGGCGAAGGCGGGUCUCUGGGCCGAUACUGACGCUGAGGAGCGAAAGCGUGGGGAGCGAACAGG
rnacentral:rRNA from 1 species